GGGUUGUGAGGUUAAGCGACUAAGCGUACACGGUGGAUGCCCUGGCAGUCAGAGGCGAUGAAGGACGUGCUAAUCUGCGAUAAGCGCCGGUAAGGUGAUAUGAACCGUUAUAACCGGCGAUUUCCGAAUGGGGAAACCCAGUGUGAUUCGUCACACUAUCAUUAACUGAAUCCAUAGGUUAAUGAGGCGAACCGGGGGAACUGAAACAUCUAAGUACCCCGAGGAAAAGAAAUCAACCGAGAUUCCCCCAGUAGCGGCGAGCGAACGGGGAGGAGCCCAGAGCCUGAAUCAGCAUGUGUGUUAGUGGAAGCGUCUGGAAAGGCGCGCGAUACAGGGUGACAGCCCCGUACACAAAAGCGCAUGUGCUGUGAGCUCGAUGAGUAGGGCGGGACACGUGGUAUCCUGUCUGAAUAUGGGGGGACCAUCCUCCAAGGCUAAAUACUCCUGACUGACCGAUAGUGAACCAGUACCGUGAGGGAAAGGCGAAAAGAACCCCGGCGAGGGGAGUGAAAAAGAACCUGAAACCGUGUACGUACAAGCAGUGGGAGCACCCUUCGGGGUGUGACUGCGUACCUUUUGUAUAAUGGGUCAGCGACUUAU
rnacentral:rRNA from 1 species